UCUCCUGCAAGUGAAGAUCGACGGCAACUAAUCAUUCUCAUAGGAGCCGCACAUGAGGGUGGACACCAGCUGCCAAAACCCUAGCAUCACUCCCUAAUCAUUUACAGAAAAUAUAUAUCCUUCUCUUUCAACAAACAUUUCCCCCUUUUCUCUCUCUCUCUAAGGAUUGACUGACGGCAACAGCAACUUCCUUCCUUUUUGAAGGAAGAUUCAUCACUUUCUCUUUCACUAUCAUUCUCAUUUCCAGGACAUGUCUAAGCGAUCAAAGUGUCAAUAUUUAUCUUUUUCUAAACUUCCUACGACUGCUGACACUUCAAAUUGUAAGAUUGUUAAUAUUUCAAGCGCCAAAAUAACUUCUUCAUUGUUUGCCAUCGUUGGUGAUAGAAAAAAGGUUGAGAGGUUUAAGCCAUUUUUAAUUUUAGAGAGCGUUUGAGAAUUAGAGAAGUGGUGUAAUCAAACAUAAACAUUCAACACCUAUUUAUACUAAGUUGUAAAUUAGGAGGGCUAAAAUGGUAAAUAACCGGUUCCAAAUGGCUAUAUUACCAUUAGGAACUGGUUCCAACAGUCAUAUCCAUUUUAUUUUAAACAUUAUUGGUUGUACCCAAUUUUCGGGUAGAAACCGGACCCGACCUAUACCUCUAGUACCGAUGGUCAAAUGCAUUAUAUUAUAACCAUACUCGGCCCUACAAGGUACCCCACUAUACGUGUAGUACCGGGGUCUGGUUUGAUCAAAAACCCAAUUCCAAUUGUACCCGAUUGAGCCUUACCCCAUUUUAGACUUCAAAUUUGUUACCUAGGCUAGGAGUUGAAGUGCUAAAUAUGAUGAGUUCAGUUGCUACGAAGCUCACAAGAUCGCUACGCGUGGUCUCCCACACUCCUUCAUUAGUAGGAAGGUCGAAGAAUCUGUACUCUUCAUCUGCUCCCAUAGAGGAUGAUGAUUUCCUCCCUGAAAAACCCGAGUUACAGUUGCAAGGGGUUGAUCCCAGAAAAGGUUGGGGCUUCCGUGGUGUGCAUAAGGCAAUUAUAUGCGGAAAGGUGGGGCAAGCACCUCUGCAAAAGAUCCUAAGAAAUGGUAAAACUGUGACCAUUUUUACAGUUGGGACGGGUGGCAUGUUUGAUCAACGAACAAUUGGAGCCAAAGACUUGCCAAAACCUGCUCAAUGGCACCGAAUUGCUGUGCACAAUGAAAUACUUGGUGCUUAUGCCGUUCAACAACUCACCAAAAACUCUUCAGUUUAUGUAGAAGGUGAUAUUGAAACAAGAGUUUAUAACGAUAGUAUCAAUGGUGAAGUUAAAAACAUACCUGAGAUCUGCAUUCGACGGGAUGGAAAGAUCCGCCUCUUCAAAACAGGAGAAAGCAUCAACAUUAUUUCCUUCGAUGAACUACGGGGAUGGUUAAUUAUGCAUCAUGUGGUGGCGUUGAUAGCCGAAAGACAAGAGAGUACAUGCACUAAUUGGCCUUUGUCUUAAUUGCCGAGUGAUGUCCAAGGUUUGAUGCAAAACUACCAUCGAGUCGGGGGUCUCACUGGAAGCCGCCUCUCUAUUCCUACGGGGUAGAGGUGAAGGAUUGAUUUAAUUUAACCAAAGUGUUGUGUUAGCUCAUUACCUUGAAGUUGAGCAAAUUCUUGUUUUAAGAUUUAUCUGACAUGUUUUCUUUCUUUUUGAUAUUAUAUGCUCAAACAUUCUAUUCUGCACAGUGCUGUUUUUUUAUUUAAUUAUUUAGUGACAACAUUAGUUUAAACUACAAUCUGGACAUAAGCAGAAAUUGAAUUGCGUUUU